AGUGAACGCUGGCGGUAGGCCUAACACAUGCAAGUCGAACGGCAGCACCGUAAGAGCUUGCUCUUACGGGUGGCGAGUGGCGGACGGGUGAGGAAUACAUCGGAAUCUACUUUUUCGUGGGGGAUAACGUAGGGAAACUUACGCUAAUACCGCAUACGACCUACGGGUGAAAGCAGGGGAUCUUCGGACCUUGCGCGAUUGAAUGAGCCGAUGUCGGAUUAGCUAGUUGGCGGGGUAAAGGCCCACCAAGGCGACGAUCCGUAGCUGGUCUGAGAGGAUGAUCAGCCACACUGGAACUGAGACACGGUCCAGACUCCUACGGGAGGCAGCAGUGGGGAAUAUUGGACAAAGGGCGCAAGCCUGAUCCAGCCAUACCGCGUGGGUGAAGAAGGCCUUCGAGUUGUAAAGCCCUUUUGUUGGGAAAGAAAAGCAGCAGGUUAAUACCCCGCUGUUCUGACGGUACCCAAAGAAGAGGCACCGGCUAACUUCGUG
rnacentral:rRNA from 1 species